ensembl:lncRNA
UGCGUAUGUGUGUUCUGCUGGAGAAAGAAAGUCAUAGAGCCUGGAAUGACAUGAGGGCUAUUUUCCCAAAACUAUUUUUUUUAUCAACUUGUCUCAAAUGUUAAAUAAAUAAAUAAGAGACAAUUAUCAGCAUACUUUAAAAGUAUAUACUUAUUAAUGUCAAUGAGAUAGCUUGGAUAAUUUGCUUUUGGAGGAAUAUGUUGAGAAAUUUUUGGGGCGGGCUUAAGUUAAAAUAUUUCGAGCCACCUCUAAGGGAGACAUAUGUGAAUUUACUGGGUUCUUACUUAGAAGCAGCAUUUGUCAGGCAGUUUAGCUCAUUGUUGAGGAAAAGGGAGAGAAACAUCAAAGAGAUUUCAUUUGUAUCUUUUCUUUCAAAUGGGUUUCCCUGAAUCAUUGCCUACAAUAUCUGUCUCUCAUUCUGCGUGACCACUAUGCAUCCAAACAGACAAACCUUAUCUUGUGGAGCACUGGAGACAGCCUAAUGCUUAUAGCACACACUCUUUCCUCCCCUUUCCUCUUUCCCAUCCUCAAACAGGUUGACUAGACCAGUCUUCACUCACCCACACCACUGUCAGGCUUUGGUCUGGUCCACUGCAGCAUCUGCAGUCAGCCCAGCACAACCUCCAGCGCAUGGACGCUUCAUUUGAUGGCUUGAAGAGAAACCCAUCCCUCAGAGAGGAGUCUUCACAUGGUACAUCAGUGGAGAAGAGCCGGGUGCUGUCUGCGAGGGAGAAGUACGGAAAUGGCUUCUCAUCAAUCACCAUCUGAGAGAGGCAUGGCAGGAGAGGAGGUCUCAGGGGAGCCAAGGGAAGAAGCAAGCAGUCAGGCAGCUGUCUACACUGGCUGCAGAAUGUAGACCCAGACUCGAGCGACGUGUCUCUUGUGUGUAUACGGUACGCAGAUGUAGAGGUAGAUGCGCUUGUGUGCCUUCAAGAGAAGACGGUAGAUGGAAAUGGACAGAACAGGCAAGUCAAGGUAUUCCUGAGUCAUAAAAGCCCUCUGUCCCAGCCUGUGCACAGCAAAUCCUCUCAAACUGUCCACAACAACCUCCAUCUUGGCUCAGUUUCCAGGAUUCUCUUGCAAACUAGCCUAGAGCUGUGUGAAACAGGCACUGUAUUCCUCUGGCCCAGACUAAAAAGAUGUGUCCACAUCAGCUGGUCCAAUUCUGUCUUGCAGACGUCGAAAAAAACACCCCCAGCGAGCCACUCUGCCAGGACCAGCACAUAUAACUGGGGUAAACACAAAGCUUUGACAGAAGGGAGCUUAAAAAGCCCAUACAAGAUAAAGAGACACAUUUUUAAGAUUGUAAGAUGUUUUAGGUGCUGCUGACCACCUCCUUGUUUUCUACCUUGGAACCGGGGCUUCCAAAAUUUCCAUCAAAGGAAUCAGGGCUUUUACUGUGCUGCACACUGCUGCUCCAAGAUCUUUCAUGGUGAGCAAUUUCCAUGUUUGAAAAAUCACUCCAGGGUCUGUUUCAAUAAAUAUAUGUGAAAAUGGAUCUGACA